GACGUAGGGCGCGAGCGUUGUCCGGAUUUAUUGGGCGUAAAGAGCUCGUAGGCGGCUUGUCGCGUCGAAUGUGAAAACUCGGGGCUCAACUCCGAGCUUGCAUUCGAUACGGGCAGGCUAGAGUUCGGUAGGGGAGACUGGAAUUCCUGGUGUAGCGGUGAAAUGCGCAGAUAUCAGGAGGAACACCGGUGGCGAAGGCGGGUCUCUGGGCCGAUACUGACGCUGAUGCGCGAAAGCGUGGGGAGCAAACGGG
rnacentral:rRNA from 1 species